UAGGCGGCCAAGCGAAGAUUCCUGUGUGAUUGGGGAUAGGUAGGCGCAGUGAAGAGAGAUCGAAUCCCGACUUUUCGCUAGUUCCAUUACCUAUACUAUCACUUCUUUUUCGUAUAAGACUUGUACCUUACGUGAUAAGGGCCCCUGUCAGGUGCAGCUCAAGCGAUCGGCCCAGGCCCGGGUUGAGUAUCACAGCUCCCAAUGGGGGGGUUGGAAGACUCUGACCUCUUCAACUGAGCACACGCCCCCAGCGACGCGCAGAGCACUGAGAGACAGUCCGAUUACCGCAAAUCUCCAAACUGGUCGGUCAAAUGCAUCUCGAUUCUCCUCCAGGGGCUAACUGCUAUAACUAUGACGGAACCACUAGAGUAAUUAGUUUGAUUGGCCAACUGCACCUAAGAUGACUGAGAACAAGGCAGGGGAA
rnacentral:lncRNA from 1 species